GUUAAUGUGGCUGUGGAGCCGGACUGGGCACCGGAGAAUCGUGAAGGGAUGUUUGAGGGUCUUUUGUUAUUCCAGUAGAUCACAGUGACUGGGGCACUGCUGGGUGACUUCUGCUGGAACCAGCCAUAAGCAUAGCCACUGCUACCCCCAGAGCAGGUGAUCGUGACGGUUUCUCCCAGGUUCACUGACACUGAGGCCGGCUGAGUCAGUGCUGCCUGCACCAGGGAACCUG